rnacentral:rRNA from 1 species
GACGAACGCUGGCGGCGUGCUUAACACAUGCAAGUCGAACGGAAAGGCCCUGCGUUUGUGGCGUGCUCGAGUGACAAACGGGUGAGUGACACGGGAAUAACCUGCCCUUGUCUUUGGGAUAACUUCAGAAAACUGGGGCUACUACCGGAUACGAGCUCCUGCUGCAUGGUGGGGGUUGGAAGGUGUCGGCGGUUGGGGAUGGACUCGCGGCUUAUCAGCUUGUUGGUGGGGUAGUGGCUUACCAAGGCUUUAACGGGUAGCCGGGCUGAGAGGGGGACCGGGCACAGUGGGACUGAGAUACGGCACAGACUCCUACGGGAGGCAGCAGUGUGGAAGAUUGCAUAACGGGCGGACGCCUGAUGAAGCAGCGCCGCGUGCGGGAUGACGGCCUCCGGGGUGUAAGCCGAUGUGGAAGGGGAGGAAGCGUGGGUGACGGUACCGGGCAAAGAAGCACCGGCUAACUACGUG